UACGGAGGGGGCUAGCGUUGUUCGGAAUUACUGGGCGUAAAGCGCACGUAGGCGGCUUUGCAAGUUAGAGGUGAAAGCCCGGGGCUCAACUCCGGAAUUGCCUUUAAAACUGCAUCGCUAGAAUUGUGGAGAGGUAAGUGGAAUUCCGAGUGUAGAGGUGAAAUUCGUAGAUAUUCGGAAGAACACCAGUGGCCAAGGCGACUUACUGGACACAUAUUGACGCUGAGGUGCGAAAGCGUGGGGAGCAAACAGG
rnacentral:rRNA from 1 species